UGUUGGGGAUUGCCUCCCUUGUUUCGCCCAACAACUCACAAAUUCACAAAUCACGUUUAAAUUUUAAAAACUUUAAUAAAGGUCACAGGUCACAAUGACAUUAGAUACGUUACACUUCACUGUAUCACAAUCGAUGUUAACUCUCCAGUAGACUGAAGUUCUAAUGUGUCUAACUAACAUACAGAGGCUAUAUUUAUAGUAAAAUAAUAGGAACUUAUUGUGGUUAUAUGACGAAGUCUAUGCGGUUAUGUGACGAAGUUUCCUUGCGGAAAAUAUGCAAAUUCAUCGCGAUUUGAUCCUAUAGUUUCGACUGCGCCCUGACAAUGCGGUUGCAUAGUCACGUCUGUUUAUCUCUUGCGUUGGAUACGAAACUUCUAGUCUAUUACUCGGCACUUUCGUUUCCCUUUUGCACGUAUAGUGAUGUGUUCAUAACUAUAUAUUUAAACUAAUAACUAUAUGAAUUAUCUAUAUUCUAAGAUUAAAUGUACUUUGGUCUAUAUACUAUAUAUGAUAAUUGAAAGUCUCCGACACACUCCCCCCAUAUAGCUCGCUAGUCGAGAUAUAUGUAUUUUAGGAGACUGUUCUCAUGAAUAUAUGGGUCUUCUGAUAUAUACCUAUUAGUUCUCCACGGUUGCUACUUCCUGAAUCCGUUGUCUUGCCGCUACUGCUGCAUCUCGUUUUGGUCUGAAUGGUGAAACAUCUGGAUUCAAGGGUUCUUGAUUCUUUUUCUCUUUCUUGUCACAG
rnacentral:lncRNA from 1 species